CUCAAGCCUGGUGAAAACCCACCUGAGCCUGUCAGAACACCACCAACCGGUCUAUUUGAAGACCCACCUGUGGAUGAACCCGAGCUCCUUGACCAAGCAGAGGCAUUACCCUGCCAAAUCGAGCCGUUGCUCAGUCCAGCAGAAUUACCACUUGAAGCUGCGAACUUGCCUGAUCGUGUCGUUGAAACCACGCCUGAGAUCAGUCAUCCUAGUCGUCAGCGUCAACCUCCUAAUCGCCUUCAAUAUGCGGUGUUAGGUAAUCCUCUCAUUUCCGUUGUUCAGACGUUAUUUCAUGGUUUAGUCAAUGCCUAUGACGAAGCGUUCACUACCUAUGCAGCAAACAACCUUUUGAAAUCGGAUGUUCGUGACGUUUAGCAUGCAUCAGGAGUUGCAUGAUCUAAAGGGGGGAGGAUGUAACCCGGGUGACAAAACCCCAUUUAAAUAUCCUGUCUAUUUAUUUUCCGUCGUCUAAGCUGUUAUUGCGUGCGUCAUUACGUCACGCGGUCACGUGACUUGCGUGCGUCAUUACGUCACGCGGUCACGUGACUUAACGCGGCUGUCAGACGAGCAUAAAACCCGGAAGUCGGCUGCUACCGGUGAGAGCGAGAGGGACACACUGUGAGGUUGCUGCAGGAGCCGACUACCGGAGCCGUGGGUCGUCCGCGGCAGUGUUUGAGAGUGAUUUAUCUGCGGAAUUGGCCAGGUUGGAUGGCGAGCUAUAGAGCCCUGAACUAGAGUCUGAAGCUUUAUGCCUGGAACCGAACUAGCUGAACUGAAUCCACCCAACCGAACCCCGGGCUGGUAGGAGGCUUCUCGGCAGCCGCCCUCUGUUUUCCCUUCUUUUUGCCAAAACGCAACGAGUUCAUUGCAGUCCUCC